rnacentral:rRNA from 1 species
AGAACAAAUACUUUGGGGGCAACCCCACAAGUGGUCUGCGGACGGCUCAUUACAUCAGCAAUAAUCCACACGGCGGAUCGGGUGUUGCAUUGUACCCAACCCCGCAUCGGACAACCGGCCUAACCGGCCGGCUAAUACGUGGAUGACGCUCGUUGCCCCUCAAUCUUCCUCCUCGGAGGGAGACGCCCGGGGCGGCGGGCUCACUGGCCGAUACGAAGAUCCGCGCCCUGAAACACGGGCACCCAAAUGGACCGACGAAUCAGGCCAGUCGUCUGGCAAGACAUGGCUGAAAGGGAGCCUUUGACCCUCAAAGAAAGAAGGAAAGGAAGGAAGGAAGGAGGAAAAUCCUUUUUCUCCUCCCGACUCUCUUUUCUUUUCUUUACAAAAAAAAGGUCGGCUCCCGUUGCCGUGCGAAUUUCUGACCCAUCAGCUAGAUGGUGGUGUAGUGGACCACCAUGGCAUUGACGGGUAACGGGGAAUUCGGGUUCGAUUCCGGAGAGGGGGCCUGAGAAAUGGCCACCACGGCUAAGGCCGGCAGCAGGCGCGCAAAUUGUCCAAUGCCAACAUUUGGCGAGACAGCGACGAAAAGUAGCAGCGCCACCUGCCCAUACGGGCGGGCGGAGCUUGCAAUGGAUGCUGUACCCAAACCCA